rnacentral:rRNA from 1 species
CCUACGGGAGGCAGCAGUGGGGGAUAUUGCACAAUGGGGGGAACCCUGAUGCAGCGACGCCGCGUGGGUGAAGAAGCGCCUCGGCGCGUAAAGCUCUGUUAGUAGGGAAGUAAAUGCCGGUACCUGAAGAAGAAGCACCGGCUAACUACGUGCCAGCAGCCGCGGUAAUACGUCGGGGGCAAGCGUUAUCCGGAUUUACGGGGUGUAAAGGGGGCGCAGAGGGCGAUGCAAGCCAGGAGUGAAAGCCCGGGGCUCAACUCCGGGACUGCUUUUGAAACUGCGUGGCUAGAGUGCAGGUGGGGCAGGCGGAAUGCAUGGUGUAGCGGUGAAAUGCGUAGAGAUCAGGAAGAACACCGGUGGCGAAGGCGGCCUACUAGACUGCAUCUGACGUUGAGGCCCGAAAGCGUGGGGAGCAAACAGGAUUAGAUACCCCUGUAGUC